GCUCCCCAGCGCGGGCCAGGGCGUGCGCUCGCCCCUGCGGACGCAGCCUGGAGGAGUGUGUGUGGGGGUGUCUGCGCGGGGGUCUGGAUGUGUCCAGCAGCGGCACGGCAGCCUGAUGCCUCCUCUCGUCUGGGACGCGGGUUCCUUGGCAGCUCUUCUGGGAUGCGGGGCCCUUGGGUAGUCCACCGAAGGGGGACAUCUCGAAGAGAAGCAGCGAGACCUGGGGAUCCGGUUGUUCGUUUUGGUUGUCGCCUGUGAGGCCAGCAUCCGAGCGUAAGAGGAAUCUAGGCGCUGUCUCGAAAAGAGAUGGCACCAAGGACAGCAAAUGCUGACAAAGAGAAGAGACGGACAAGCAUUUUCUUGUGAUUAAUACCGAAGGGACGGGAUGAAACAAGGAAGCCAAAAUGCAGUGGACCCUCGAUAUCACCAGGAACUGCUACAGGAGGCGGCGUUCUGGCACGGGUAACUAAGGGCGAUGGAUUUUACUCUGCCUCCAUCAACAGGCGCUGCCUGGCAAAGUCAUCGUGUCCCAGCGGAGACUCUUAGGCAGGACGGGAGGAGUUCGGAUCCGCAGCCUGCCAGAAGAGCGUCGCCCGGGAGG